rnacentral:rRNA from 1 species
GAGUUUGAUCUUGGCUCAGGACGAACGCUGGCGGCGUGCUUAACACAUGCAAGUCGAACGAACCUUCGGGUUAGUGGCGAACGGGUGAGUAACACGUGGGCAACCUGCCUCGAGCUCUGGGAUAACACCGGGAAACCGGUGCUAAUACCGGAUAUGAACAGAGAAGGCAUCUUUUCUGUUGGAAAGUUUUUCGGCUCGAGAUGGGCCCGCGGCCUAUCAGCUUGUUGGUGGGUAACGGCCUACCAAGGCGACGACGGGUAACCGGCCUGAGAGGGCGACCGGUCACACUGGGACUGAGACACGGCCCAGACUCCUACGGGAGGCAGCAGUGGGAAUAUUGCGCAAUGGGCGAAAGCCUGACGCAGCGACGCCGCGUGAGGGAUGAAGGCCUUCGGGUUGUAAACCUCUUUCUAGCAGGGACGAAGCGAAGUGACGGUACCUGCAGAAGAAGCACCGGCCAACUACGUGCCAGCCGCCGCCGUAA